AAUACUAAGUCAUGGUUUAAUAAACCAUGGGUUAGUAUUAUGAACAAACCAGGCCUGCUCUAGUAUUUUGGACUGGAGCAGGGGGCACAGGGGUCAUCAAGGAAGCUCAGAAUAAAACUGUAUGCGGAAAUCUGUGGUUGGAGGCAAAUAAAUUCUUCAAUAUAUUUGACAUUCUUUUGAAACCCAUUAAGGGAUGGGGAAAUCACUUAGCAUGUGAUCUGGAGAAUAACAGCAGAUAGAGAAAUGCCUGCCUAUUUAUUCUUUGCUUGCAAAUGCACCCUUCCCAGCAUAUUGUUAAUUGGAAAAAACUGCAUUGAAAUGUGCACUUUGGUCCUAACAAUUAUGAGGUUUUGUGCUUACAAAUACAUAAAGAUGCAUAAGGAAUAGGGCUAAUAUCCUUUAGAUAUUCCUAACCUAACAUCCCAAUGAAAUGAACAAAACCUGAGAAAAAAUGAAUCCAAAAGCAAUGGAAGGCAAAAAUCAAUUUUAAGAUAAAAUGAGAUAAUAUAUUACAGUACAAAUAAUUACCCAUUGAACUUCAUUCAAAAGAUUAACUGAAUUCACAAAAGGUGACAGUGUUCCCAUAGAUAAAGUUCAUGUGCUAUUGAAUUGUCAUGUUAGAGAAAUUUUCUUCCCCCUGAUGGUAUCAUGUCCUUUUCAGUAUCUUAUGUGGAAACAGUCAAACUAUACCUGAAUAAUCCCAUGAGGACCAGCAGGCCAUCCUCACCCCACCCGCCAGCUUUAUUUCAAGAAAUGAAUGAUAAAUGUCUCUGGAAUGGCAAUAUUAAAUAAAUUCUUAAAUUGGAGAAGAAAACUCGGUCUUACCGGAGCUGCGGUUGUGGUUACCUAUAUAAAGGAAAAGGGAAGAAAGAAGGGAAAAGGAUCAGCAUUAAUAACACAUAACUCAAGAAUUCAGCCCUUCUUUCCUACAUGUUUAAUUUGCAAAUUAUUAUUUCCUUAAUGCAAAUAAAACAGUAUUAGGUUUUGCCUCUAUUUUCUGAAAUCUAAACCAAAAAUGCGAACACAUAAUUAUUAUUAUUUUUUUAAAAAAACCUUUAUAUUCUAACCUCCUCUUCAUCAUCAUAGUCAACAGCAGCCUGGGAUUUAACGAUGACAACAACAGAAAGGAGAAACAGCAACAGUAGUUUCAUGAUUUUGGGUUGCGGGAGCAUCUUAGCAGCUUCUCUCCCCUCUGUAAAA